CAGAUUGACGUCAUCGUUGAAUAUUUCAAUUUUGGAGCACAUGUGUGCACCUGUGAUUCGAUCGAUCCAAUAAUCAAUUCCGUCGGUAAUAAUGAGAUCGACUGCUCUUUUAUGAUUCUUCGAUUUGCAAAUCACCUAAACACUGAAAUCGAAGACACUUGAUUAAUAAGACGAAUGUUCGAUGGCUUCCUAAAAACAUGACAUACUACCGAGUUAUCUCGUGUUUACAGAUAAGUACCGAUAGUAUCGUUCAAAGCUCGAUAUCUGAGUUUACCAAAAUGUUGAUGGUUAUUUGAAAUUUUAACAUUGAAAUUCUAGAACAUUAGUUAGUUUCGUAGUACACUUAACAACAGUUGAUACAUGUUUCAAUAGGGGAGUUUUCAUAGAUAAAGAAACACAAACAAUAUUUGUAAAAAAGGGUACAGUGCAACAAUUUUAUUUUUCAAAUAUUACGUUUAUCUUCAAUGUAUACAUGCAAUACUUCAUGCUACACAUAACAUUAUGGGAUACAAAUAAACAUAAAACCUAUUUGUCAAAAUGUUUGCUAUUCUAUAUAAGAUUUCUUUAACGCCUACUGUAUAUCUAUUAGAUUUUGAAAUUUCCAAUUUCCAUCAUUGGUUGCAAUAUUAAUCUUCAUAACUGUGCUGACUGAAAUAACUCAAAUAUUUCAAAAUAAUAUAUAAGUUUGUUAAAAGAAAAAAAAAAAUAGAGAGAGAGAGAGAAUCAACAGACUAGAAUUUAAUGGAUUGUCUAAUCAGUAUACAUAGCACCUCAUAAAUAUAUGUUCCCACCAUGAAAUCAUUAUGUAGUUUUAUGAAAUGUGAGUACCAAAAAUAGGCUUAAACGGAAUACACUGUUCUGUUUGAUUAAUUGCACUUAGUCAAAUGUCUGGUAUUAUACAUCUUAAGCAUACAACAAGAUUUCCAUCAUUAUGAGAACUCUUCGAUAUUGGACAUAUGGUAUAAAAUUGUAAACUAUUGUAACUAGUGGUGAAAAUCUCAAUAUUUUUCAUAUAACUUUACGAGACACGUUUCGUUGAUCACUUUCUUUAAGAUAACAAUAUCUUCACCUAUCAGUCUGCACAUUAUAUGCAAAGCAAAACAAUAAAAAAUCGUUGUUUUCGAAUUCGUUUCGAAAUCUAACAAAAUGUACGUUGAAUCUUCGUUGCAACAUCUACCGGGAGUUCGGCGUAUGCAGCAUUCCAUUCAUUUGGGAAAUCUCGCUGAGCGGAUUUGCUAAAUUCCAUAACAAAAUUCUUUGCCUCUGUGUAAAAAAAUAUAAACGUACAGUUUAAUUACAUGUCACGGUAAUAUCUUAAUAGUUAAAUGAUAAAAAAAGUAUUAUGUAACGUACCAUCAUCGGUAGCUCUAUCCUCGUGUAACACGCUAAUAGCUACCUUCAGUAAUACUUGCAUAUGAGGUUGUAAGAUAGAAUGACCGGCUUGAUACAAUGUUAGUAUGCUUCUAAACACUGCCUUGUUCUCUUCAAAAUCUUCUUUUAACGGUAACUGAUUAACAAAAACUGGGAAUACUUGAUCAAGAGGCAAAUUAGAAUAGUUAGCGAUGAUAAGUCGUGCAAUUGCACCGACUACAUUAUCACGAGCUCCUGCGUGAGAUUCCUUAGCAAUCGCACCUGAUAAAACUUGUAAAAUAUCAGGGUAAUGUCUAUCAAAUUAUUAUUAAGGAAGAAAAGUUUAAAUUUUCAUCAAAGCUUGGAAUAAGAUAUUAGAAGGAUACGAAUAAACUGCAUCUUUUCCAUGUAAUGCAAGUUCACCAAUUCCAUAGAUCGCAUUAUUACGAACUUCAGCACUUGGGUCAUCUGUAAGCCUCAAAAAUAUAGGAAGCAACUGAGGUAUGAAUGCGGCUACCGUAUGUUUAAGCCCUGAGAAACAUUCUGAAAUUGUACCAACUGCAAAAGAUCUUUGGGCUUCAGAUUUAUUUUUUUUCUGAAAAUAUUAGCUAGUUUUCAAAAUGUAAAUAUAAUAUCAGGAAAAAUGUAACUAUGAUUAAAUAGAAUCGUACCAAUCUUUCUAAAAGCAUCGGCAGGACAGUUUGGAAAUAAAGUGCAAAAUCUUCUGGAGGGAUUAUUUUUCCGAAAUUAGACAGCACAUCACCGGCACAUUCAAUUAGUAAUUCAUCUUGCUCAGCUUCAGUGUCAACAUCUUCUGCUUCCUCCUGAUCUUGACAUUCCGUCUUACCUAUCAUAAAUCACAUUCUAGCUAAUUAUUAUUAAAAUAUGAAAAAUAAUUCUGGGCUACAUAUUUACCUGACAUUACGUCUGUAACACAAUUCAUAAUAGCAUCUUUAUGACCUUCUCCAACAAGAACAUCUGAUUUUAUUUCUUUCAAAAGCUCUGUGUAAGCAUCUAAACCGCUAAUAGCUACUGUUCGUUCGUCGCCUAAUCUUAUUAAUUCCGACAGUUUUGGAAUAAAUACAGAGAGAGCUUUCAAUAAAGCCUCUUUUCCUUCGUUAGUAUUAAUUUUUGAGAAAUUAAUGCAAAAUUGUAGAAUAGCAUCGAUCACAGCUUUGCGAAUAUCUUCUUGUGGAUAAUUAAUUAAUUUGAAUGUUUCUUCAAAAGAUUUUUCAAGAUACGGCAGAAAUGCUUCCUCUGUAUGCUCUGCGAUUUCUUUCAACGCUAAAAUUGCUUCUUCUUUUUCUUCGAUGUAUGCAUUCUCAACACUAUAACCCGCAACAUCGUCGUCAUCGUCGUCAUCUUCAUUAUCUGUAUUUUCAAUAUCUUCUUCGUCAUUUUCAUUUUCAUUUUCACUAAGAUCUUCAUAAACGGGAAAAGCAGAGGUUUCAUCCUCUUUGAAGUGAGGCUACCAAAAACAGAAUAAUAUAUUUCUGCACGUGUUUCCCAUUCCAGUAUUCAUUAUCAUUAUACAAGUUACUUACUACUAUGCCUUCUGAACUUUGUAUGCUUGUUAUCAUGUAGUCAACGAUUUCUGGAAGAGCAGCUGCAAUUUCCUUUUUCAUUAUAGUACUAAUCGAAGCAAACAAUCCGUAAAUAGACUUUUUCAAAUCUGGAUCUUCGGUUUCUUUCAAUAAUUUCAUUCCAAAAUUAAGAGACCUACCAGCCAAAGGUGCAAAAUUUUUAUCACCUAUCGUUCUUGCAAUUACACCAAGAGUAUCUACAAUUGUAAUCAACCAUUAACAUAAUUACUAUACGUUAUGUUGAUUAGAUAAAAUAUCAAACACACGAACCAACUGCUUGUACUUGAAGACACAUGGUUUCUUCUGACUGUUUCUCCGAAAGAUAACUAUCAAGAAUGGAAACAAUUCUUUCAAAGUAUGGCAACAUGUUCUCUUUACUUGCCAUGGCAGCUGAACCUAUAGCGCUUAAAGAAAGUUCUCUAACAUGAACAGGAGUAUCUGCACUUAGAAUUUCAAAAAGUCUUUCCAUCAAAGUUGGUAAAUAUGGCAGAAGACUUUCAUUCAAGUUUUCACAGAACAUUUCCAGCGCAUAAAACAUACGAUCAACCGAAGGCGGCUCUUUCUUUUCUUGCUUAAUAUGAGCGCAUAUUUGACCAAGAUAUUCGAAUAACACCGGUAAUAAUUCAGAUGAAUAUUGGGAAAUGUCAGGUUGUAAAUGUUCAGAAAACUGUCCAAGAGCAAACAGUGCAGCAUUGCGUACCACGGGAAUGGAAUCGGUAAUUCCCUGACAGGUGCAACGCAAGAAAGAUUCAAGAUAUUUAGUACGGAUAUAUUCUGAACAACCCUCUGCUAACACUGCCAUCGCUAAAUAUGAUGCUUUCUUUGCAUAUACAUCUGUACCUUGAAGACUAGGUUCAAUAUAAUGCAACUGUAAGAGCAAUUUCAUAUAAAUUAAUUUCGUACGCUAUGAAAGAUUGCUGAAAAUAUUUCAAAUCAUACCAAUUGAGGAAUUAAUUUCUCUGGCGGUAAAUUAAGUGCAAGUAGAUCUAAAGUUUGGGUAGCACAAGUUACAGGUGUAUUAUCUUCGUUAUCACCGCUAAAAUAAAUUUCAUAAUUAUCAUCCUCGGGUCGUGUAGACAUAAGAUUGAACAAGAGAUCUAUAAGGUCAUAUUAAAGAAUUAAUAUUUUCCAACCAGCCAAUAAAGCUAACUGCUUUAACUCUAAGAGCAUCGUCUAAUGAUUUAUUACUAGCAAUAGCAAGGCACAUACUGACAAGAGGUUUGACAUGAGGUGCUAUUACAGACACUGCAUUCUCACACAGUUCAUCUAAUAGCUCAAAGCAUUCGAUUGCUUUAUCUUCGUUAGUAGCGGUAAGCGAUUGAAUUGUAGUCAUUACUCGAGGCAUCAUUUGAUGAUAAGCAUUUACCAUCUGUAAAAAUAAUGCAUUAUUAAAUACAGUUAAUAUCUUUUGUUA